AGAGCGCGUGUGGCCGCCGAGCACAUGGACCCACUGGUCAAGCGGGCUCGGCAAGGCCAGGAUGAAGAGAAGCUACGAACUUAGCAUUCCCAGAGCCCCCCGAGUGGAUAUCCGCGUGGAAAGGAUGUUGGCAGCCCCGGUGACCUCGGAGUCACGGCUGGAUCCACCCUCUUGUCUGAUUUUCUUAACUCUACUACGGUAAGAAGAUGCCCUCCAUCAGCAGGCCGUGUCUGCUGGGACCUCUCUGGAGACUUCCUGAACCCUGUGGAUUUACAGUAAGAUGCAGUUUCCUGGGGAGUAAUUCUGGUGGAUACAAAUUCCGGAGUAUUACACCUGGCUUGCCUGGAGAUGUUACAAGUAGCUGGAUGGAUUCUUCAGCCUGGAUGCCCACUGAAAACAAGGACCGAAACUAAGAGGAUUGUAUCUCUACCCUUGACUCAAUGAGAAUGUUUGUUGUCAUCUCUCGGGCUACCUGGAGCUCCCUCUAAAAUGGCCUUCUUUGGGGAGAGCAAAUACCCUCUGACAUCACACCUGUGCUCAGAAACGUCUUGGUUGAACAGCCAGGUAUUUGGCUUUCCUCAGCUGCUACAGGUGCCCCAGUCUACCGGCCCGAUCUAUUUGCAGUGGUCAGAUGGUGUUUGGAUGGAUUCCUGAGAAAUCCAUCCAUGGUCACUUAUUUUCUAGCAGGCUCAUUGUUUCCUGCUCAGUGUGUAAGAUCUGCUACCCAUGGCUGACUGAUCGUGGCAACAUCUGUGCGGCCAUUUGGCCUCACGGUCCGAGUAAACAACCAGCUGCCCCAGAUGAGGAAGCUAAAUUACUGAGAACAGAACUGGUGAGCCUCUGUUGUGAUGGAUUGUGUCUCCCAUCUCCAUCCUUUAAUGAUGGACCCCCUGCCUUACCCAGGCACUGCUUAUCUUUGUUGAAGCUCCUUUGCCAUUGUAUAUUCCCCCCCCACCCCCCCCUUGCUGCAAAGAAGAUUACAUGGCCCUACCUUUGGCCUUAUGAUGUGGAGAAGAGGAUGAGGGACCUGAGCAUACUUGGAAUUCUGCUGCAGAUACCAAAGCCAAAGGGCUAAGGAGUGGGCUUCCAAUCAGCCUUCUUGUCUCUUAAUUCUUAAGGAUCUUGGGUGGCCUGGAUCUGCCUGUCACAGAUACUGAGUCCUUUGUUUUGCCUAGUCACAGAAAGUAUGACAUAAACUUUGGGUCCCAGCAGUUGACAUUUUGCGAUGCCUAAAGGCCUUUAGCAGACCCAUGGUUUGCUUGGCCAUGUCAGAUGUCAGGGAGCAAGCUACUGUCCUAUUCUUGGGGACAGUGUUGGCAGUGAUAUGACAAGGGAACCUGAGCAGCAGCAUCUGCAGCAGGCUGACCCCCUCCCUACCCUCUUCCUUCUGCUGGGUUGCCUGAGGGACUUCUGAACAGAUAUCCUCAAAGUGGACAGAUGAGUCCUGUCACCCUGUGUGCACAUGUCUCUUAUCCCUAGCUCAUCUCUGUGGAAGGGUAGGAAUCUGUGACUCUACAAGUUCUAUGUGUGACAGUAAGAUUGAGACUUUUCUACUCUUCACUGAGCCCCUGGGACUCCCCUCCCCCCAUGCUCUUGGAAGAAACUUAGAAACUUUAAUUUCCUAAUUUUCAUAGAACAUCACUCCUUAUGUAUGAUCAAAAACAUCAAUUAAAAACACUCAACAGU
rnacentral:lncRNA from 1 species